rnacentral:rRNA from 1 species
CCUACGGGAGGCAGCAGUGGGGAAUAUUGCACAAUGGGGGGAACCCUGAUGCAGCGACGCCGCGUGAGUGAGGAAGUACUUCGGUAUGUAAAGCUCUAUCAGCAGGGAAGAAAAUGACGGUACCUGACUAAGAAGCCCCGGCUAACUACGUGCCAGCAGCCGCGGUAAUACGUAGGGGGCAAGCGUUAUCCGGAUUUACUGGGUGUAAAGGGAGCGUAGACGGUUACGUAAGUCUGGAGUGAAAUCCCGGGGCUUAACCCUGGGGCUGCUUUGGAAACUGUGUAACUGGAGUACAGGAGGGGCAGGCGGAAUUCCUGGUGUAGCGGUGAAAUGCGUAGAUAUCAGGAGGAACACCGGUGGCGAAGGCGGCCUGCUGGACUGUAACUGACGUUGAGGCUCGAAAGCGUGGGGAGCAAACAGGAUUAGAUACCCUAGUAGUC